rnacentral:lncRNA from 1 species
AAUGUAGUGACCAGGCAAUUUUAUAGAAUAAAACUAGUAUUUCCCCAGAUAGGAAUUUGCUACAAAUUUAUAUACAUGUAUAAAAGGGAUUAUUUGAUUUAGGAAACUAACCUUUUAGACUAUUGCUUCUUGUCUUCAAGUAUAUUUAAUUAAAUUUCUUCUCUACUUCUGGAGCACGUUGACCGGAAGUAGAUGGACAUACGGCAUUUUCUAUUCAUUAAAUCUAGUGGUCAACUUAAGCCAAUGCUGUCCUUGGGUUCAAAGUUAAUUCGAAGAUCUCGGUGUUUAUCUCCUCACUUACGUAAUAAACUUGUUGUUUUUCACGGUGUUUGAUUCCAUUGUUUUAAAAAGUAUAAAUACUGGAGUGUUUGCUACAUCUUAGGAGUUGCUGCAUUGAGCCGGCUUGCAUCAAGCCACCCUCAAACCCUCCAGACUGUAUCAGUCUAAUUGGGCCUAACACGUUUUUGUGUACAAACACUCCAGUGUCCUUGACCUUUAAGGUAUGUAAUUAUUGAUAUUUAAAUGUGAGGGACCGUCUCCGGAUACAUAGGUAUGCUUUUCCGGCGCUAACUUUAAAUAAAGUCCGUUUAACAUAGAAAUAGGUGGUUAUUAUUAAUUUAAGGAUAAGUUGGGUGGAAUUAUAUUCAUAAAGUGAAUUUGUGGAUAAAUAAAGUUUAACAUACUUAAUAGCUCCUUUUUAAGAAAGGCUAUUGGUCAGAACAGUUAUCUGUUGUAUUUAUUGUUAUUUUACUAUUGUUGAAUUUAUAUGCAAUUUGUUGAACUUUACUGAUGUUAUUGGUGUAAUAAAUAUUAUAGUGGGAG